CACGUCUCUCAAAUACAUCACUUGCACUAAAAUCCUUUUCUCAGGGUCUAUUUAUGGUGGACCCUAAGUAAAGAUAUCCCCAGACUCUGGAGUUUUGGAGAUAUUUAAUCCUGUCAAAGGCACCUGAAGCCCACAGAGAUGGAAACAUGGAUUUGGAGAUUGAAGUCACAAUCAAGGUCUUGCUUUUCCUCCUCUGUCAUGCUGGGUCAACCACUGAGUUGUGCCAGCCGAGCACCAUUCAGGUCCUGGGAUAUGCAGCCACAUCAAUCCAGGCCAAUGAACAUGGCAGUGGAGGCACAGACUUUCCUCUUAGGGUCUCAGGAAGACCACUGAACAGCAGGGGAAACUGAGGGAAACAGCUUUUCUGGGCUGUGCUGAGGCUACGAUCGUGGAUGACCUGUGUUGGCCACUAUUUACUGAUGCUCCAAGCAUUCUUCCAGAAGUUUCUCUUUCCACCUUCUAGUGCUGCUGUAAUUAUCUCUAGGUUAGAGAAUAUUUUCUAUCUAUUUUUGAAAAAUAUAUACAAAGAGAGGGAAAUAGGUUCAAACCUUGGGUCUAUUUGUAAACUACAUGAGAUUUAGUCUAUUGACUUUCUAGUCUCUCUCUUUUUGGGGAAGGUGGGGUAUCAGGGAUUGAACUCAGGGGCACUCAACCACUGAGCCACAUUCCCAGCCCUAUUUUGUAGAGACAGGGUUUCACUGAGUUGCUUAGAGCCUCACUUUUGCUGAGGCUGGCUUUGAACUCUUGAUCCUCCUGCCUCAAGCCUACCGCACUACUGGGAUUACAGGCAUGCACCACAGCGCCCAGCUAUAGUCCCUCUUUUGAUGACUUUUCUCAGUUGCUUGGUUUGUCCUUGACUAUUUGGUGGAAAUAGCUGAGGUUACCAAAUAAAUGACUUACAGACAAAUGAAUUAUUA